rnacentral:lncRNA from 1 species
AUUAAACCAAGUUCCUGUCCUUUCUUCCUCCUUAGGAUGAAAUCUUUCUUGUGAGACAGGCACAGGUGUCAUAGACUAUGACACUAGCCCCAGAGGCGGCUGGAGGUUGGUAGAAAGGUAAAGCCUCAACGGAAUCUGAGAGGCCAAAAAGUUCAAGUGGGCAUUUAGCAAACGGAAUUAUCUCAGGCCAGUCCGGGGUUCUGCAUGCUGCAACAUAGCUCCUCGUACAGAUGGAUUCUGAAAUAGUUCCAGGUGCACAUUUGGAUAUUGAUGUUGUUAGUUUCUUCAAAGAAGGAGUGAUGAGGAAAAGCAUGGGCAGCAUACGGAGUUGUCUGGGCAUCCUGACAUUAGAAUGAAAGCCACACACGAUCACACAAAAAGGACCAGGAAGAAAACCCCGAAUCUUCCCCUGAAGCAACAUACACAGGAAUUUUACUUUAGAAUAAAAUAUCUUUUAUGAAAUUUAGAAUUUCCUUUUUUUAUUUUAAAGACAGUAGUAAAAAAAAAAAAGAACAAUAACAACAUACCAACAUCACAGACAUAAAUAAAACAAAGCAAGAAUAUUAAAAAUGACACAGGGUUUUAAAACAAAAUGAUAGCAAUUCACAGUGGUUGUUAAAUUGCAUAUUGUUAUCUUCAACUACAUUGCUCGGAUUACCAGACGUAAGAAUGCAAGAUUGUUCAAACCAUUAAAAAGAAUAAAAAAAAAAUAAAAUAAUAAUUAAAUAAAACUUU